rnacentral:rRNA from 1 species
GCUCCAGUAGCGUAUAUUAAAGUUGUUGCAGUUAAAAAGCUCGUAGUUGGAUUUCUGGCUUGAGACGCUGGCCGCCAGGUUUACCUGUGUGAGUGCCGGAUUGUGUCUCUGCCAUCCUUCUAGAAGUCGUGCCUCCAUUUACUUGGGUGGGUUCGGGGUCUAGAUCUUUUACUUUGAAAAAAUUAGAGUGUUUAAAGCAG